rnacentral:rRNA from 1 species
CAGCAGCCACGGUAAAACGGAGGGUGCAAGCGUUAUCCGGAUUCACUGGGUUUAAAGGGUGCGUAGGCGGAUCUGUAAGUCAGUGGUGAAAUCUCCAGGCUUAACCUGGAAACUGCCGUUGAUACUAUAGGUCUUGAAUUUUGUGGAGGUUAGCGGAAUAUGUCAUGUAGCGGUGAAAUGCAUAGAUAUGACAUAGAACACCAAUUGCGAAGGCAGCUGGCUACACAACUAUUGACGCUGAGGCACGAAAGCGUGGGGAUCAAACAGGAUUAGAUACCCCCGUAGUCCCUGUCUCUUAUAC